CAACGUACGCCGACAGAGACACCAAAAGGAAAAAAGCCGCGAGGAACAACCGAUCCAGAAACCAAAAGUAAAACUCAACAGCCGCAGAACAAAGAACCCCUCUGUACACGUGCAUCUACAGUGGUGAGAGUAAGAUGCAGGGUUACAGGUUGCUUCAGAGAAGAUCCAGCAAUCACAUACCUUGGAUGGAAAAUCACACAGCAGGAAAUUUCUCCACAGCCACUGCAGCUUGAGAACAAAAGUCUCUGGUAUCCAGACUUGUGACAUGAAAGACAAAAACCAUUACCAACGUAAACGCUUCACAUAUUCUACAUUUGGAAGCUAUGCGGAUUCUAUAUGUACGUCUUCAUACAUGUGCCUAUAUGCCCAGCUCUCUCUUCCCAGGAGAGUAAGGGGAGAAGUG